CCCUCCCCUCCUUCACAGGCUUACAAACAUUGGUAACAGGCUAUUCCGCCUCGACAACAAAACCUCUUCAAGGUUCCGACGCUCUCUCUCUCCGUUCUCGCUUCUCCCUCUCCUCUCUCCGUAGGGGAGCUUACACCACAGUAGUGCGGGGAGAGAGGAGGAUAUGGCGGAGAGGCGAAGAGAGAAGGAGAAGAUUCGCGAUCGAGACCUCUACGGCCACCGCGACCGAGACCGAGACCGAGACCGGGAUAAGGACCGCGACCGCGACCGAGAUCGGGAUCGGGAGCGUACCAGAGACCGCGACCACCGGAAGCGGUCCCGCUCCCCGGACCGCCGCCGCCGCGCCCGCUCCCGCACCCGCUCCCCCGACACCCGUCGCGGCUCCCGAUCCCGCUCCCUCUCGGCCGACCGCUCCCACCGCCGCCACGGCCACCACCGCCGCUCACCCUCCCCUGACGACCACCGCCGCAAGCGCCGCCGCGAGGGCAGCGACGACGAACGGGAUCGCCACCGCUCGUCCGCCCCCUUGGAGACAGCGGACGGCGCCGCCAAGGAGCGCAAGAAGCAGGGCGGCGGUGCCGCUGCCCCCGACGGCGGUGCUCCGGCGGAGGGGGACGCUGCGGUGCCCACUGACCUGGACCCGGACGAGCUGGAGAUGAUGAAGAAGCUGGGGAUCCCGCUGGGUUUCGACUCCACGAAGGGGAAGCCCGUAUCGGGGGCCGACGUGAGUGGUGUGCGGGCGGUCACCAAGAGGCAGCCGAGGCAGUACAUGAAUCGGAGAGGGGGAUUUAACCGCCCAUUGCCCUCGGAACGGAACCGGUAGAAUCGAAACGCCGGUGAACAGGUUAUAAAGCUCCAGCAGAGUUGCGCUACAACCAGCUGGGUUUUUUUUUGACGUGCCUGGGGAAAUGGAAGCUCAGAGCUAAUCUAAUUUUUGAAUUGCCGUGCAGAAGAGACACCACAGUUCCAAGGAAAAUGCUUACUAGCACUGGAUUCUGGAAUCAUACAGGUAACGCAGCACAAGUUGGAGAACUUUGAUGUUCUGUACCUAACCCAGGAACGCACUUCUACCUAUCAUGUAUAACUUUUAAGACGACUCAUAGAUGUGACUCGUUUGAACAUUCAUAGGAUAGCAGAGUUAUUGGAGCUGCUUUGUUUCAUCUUUUGUGCUCUUGCAGCAUUCCAGGACAAGAUAUUUGUUGCCAUUGUAUUGAAACUAUUGGUUGUCAUGCUGUUACUUCAUCAAAUUUGGUGAGCUCCAAUAGAUUGCUUGCCUAAUGUAUUGCUUUGGAUUUCCAAUGCUAACUAUUCUAUUCGUUCUUC